rnacentral:rRNA from 1 species
UGAGGAAUAUUGCGCAAUGGGGGUAACCCUGACGCAGCGACGCCGCGUGAGUGAGGAAGGCCUUCGGGUCGUAAAGCUCUGUCAAGAGGAAAGAAGUGCAUGGUUGCUAAUAUCAACCAUGUUUGACGGUACCUCUAAAGGAAGCACCGGCUAACUCCGUGCCAGCAGCCGCGGUAAUACGGAGGGUGCAAGCGUUGUUCGGAAUUACUGGGCGUAAAGGGCGCGUAGGCGGCUUGAUAAGUCAGAUGUGAAAGCCCACGGCUUAACUGUGGAAGUGCAUUUGAAACUGUCAGGCUUGAGUAUCAGAGGGGAAAGUGGAAUUCCCGGUGUAGAGGUGAAAUUCGUAGAUAUCGGGAGGAAUACCGGUGGCGAAGGCGACUUUCUGGCUGAAUACUGACGC